AAGAAAUAAAUACAUAAACAUUCAAGAGAUAAAUUAUCUUUGAAUUGUAAACCGAUAAUUUAUGUUUCUUUGUGUAAAUACAAAUUCUGAUUUUGAUGUAAUGUUGCCUGUGUGAUUUUAUCAGUUUUGUUUUUUUGUCGGCCCUCACUGCUGCAUCAGUAAUCUGGUUAUCCUUUCUUUUUUUAACUCUCGAUUCUCACACUUAUUUUCAUCUGAUUUAAACAGAAAGCCUAAAAUUGAAACCAUCCACCGCCAUCUCCAUCGCUACCACCACCAUCUCCUCAGCCAUCGCCACCACCACUACUUUCGCCACAGUUUCAGUAUGAAAAUCGAUUUUGAAGAUCGAUAAGAACAAUCUACAUGAAGAUUAUAUCAAAAGGUGAUUAAUCAAUCAAACAAACACGGGAGGAGGUGGUGGUGAUGAUGAUGUAACUCGGUUAGUAAAACAAUGUCUUUUAUUGUAUUUCGAUCUAGUGUUGCUAAUUGUAGUUGUGGUGGUGGUGGUAGAUGUUGUUGCAAUAGUGAUGAUGUAACUCGGUUAGUAAAACAAUGUCUUUUAUUGUAUUUCGAUCUAGUGUUGCUCCUUGUUGUUGUGGUGGUGGUAGAUGUUGUUGCAAUGGAGACAACGGUGGAUUUUAUUGUACUAGUUUGGCUGGGGGUGUUGGUGAUAGCAGCAUAAGUAUUUUUUGAUGCAUGUAAGAGCAGCAGUAGAGUGGUAGUGUAGAUGGUGGCAGCAACAGUGCUAUAUUAGAAGCUCUAGCUUGUAGUCUACUGUCAAGUGGUGGUGAAGGUUUUGGGGGUGCGGAAGUUAUGGUGGUGGAGCCAGUGGGAGUCCGAGUUGAGAUCUGUGUAUGUGGAGAGAGAGAGAGAGUAAGAACUAAAAAUGAAAAACAGUCGAUCUUAAUGCGUUUGUAAAGGUGAUAUUUGUACAAAAUUGAUAUUUAUGCACUUGUUUAUUUUAUGUACUGCGAUCAAAACCCUAGUAUCCCAAUUAUAAAGUAGAGGCCGAUCUUCGGAUUGGACGGGUUAGGUGUCUCACACCUUCCUAUCCCGUAUCUUGAUUCUCGGACCUUUCUCUGUAAAUUGGACCAGUGCUUCUUUUGGGUCCCAUCUCCCUAAGUUGGGUGGCGGCUUCGAUUAUGAAUAAUUUCCAAGUGUAAUAGCCAUUUUAGAUAUUUAGAGAUCCUAACCGAUUUCGACGGUAUCUACAGUUCCAACUACAAUGUUUGUGUGCAAAAAA